UUACGGUCAUAGCAUCUCGAAACGCUGGUUCUCGUAUGAUCACUGAAGUUAAGCAACGUCGAACCUGGUCAGUACAUAGAUGGGUGACCGCUUGGGAAUGCCAAGUGCU